GACGAACGCUGGCGGCGUGCUUAACACAUGCAAGUCGAACGGAAAGGCCCUGCUUUUGUGGGGUGCUCGAGUGGCGAACGGGUGAGUAACACGUGAGUAACCUGCCCUUGACUUUGGGAUAACUUCAGGAAACUGGGGCUAAUACCGGAUAGGAGCUCCUGCUGCAUGGUGGGGGUUGGAAAGUUUCGGCGGUUGGGGAUGGACUCGCGGCUUAUCAGCUUGUUGGUGGGGUAGUGGCUUACCAAGGCUUUGACGGGUAGCCGGCCUGAGAGGGUGACCGGCCACACUGGGACUGAGAUACGGCCCAGACUCCUACGGGAGGCAGCAGUGGGGAAUAUUGCACAAUGGGCGGAAGCCUGAUGCAGCAACGCCGCGUGCGGGAUGACGGCCUUCGGGUUGUAAACCUCUUUCGCCUGUGACGAAGCGUGAGUGACGGUAAUGGGUAAAGAAGCACCGGCUAACUACGUG
rnacentral:rRNA from 1 species